rnacentral:rRNA from 1 species
AUUGAACGCUGGCGGCAGGCCUAACACAUGCAAGUCGAACGAGUGGCGGACGGGUGAGCAAUGUAUGGGAAACUGCCUGAUGGAGGGGGAUAACUGCUGGAAACGGUGGAUAAUACCGCAUACCAUCAGAUGGGCCCACAUGGGUUGAGCUAGUCGGUGGGGUAAAGGCUCACAAGGGCGACGAUCCCUAGCUGGUCUGAGAGGAUGACCAGCCACACUGGAACUGAGACACGGCCCAGACUCCUACGUGAGGCAGCAGUGGGGAAUAUUGGACAAUGGGCGCAAGCCUGAUGAAGCCAUGCCGCGUGUAUGAAGAAGGCCUUCGGGUUGUAAAGUACUUUCAGCGGGGAGGCGUUAUCUGCAGAAGAAGCACCGGCGAACUACGUGCCAGCAGCCGCGGUAAUUC